rnacentral:rRNA from 1 species
CAGAGGGUGCAAGCGUUAAUCGGAAUUACGUGGGCGUAAAGCGUGCGUAGUCGGUCUUUUCAAGUCGGGUGUGAAACGCCCCGGGCUCAACCUGGGAAUUGCAUUCGAUACUGGAUGACUAGAGUUCGGCAGGAGGGAAGUGGAAUUUCUGGUGUAGCGGUGAAAUGCGUAGAUAUCAGAAGGAACAUCAGUGGCGAAAGCGACUUCCUGGACCAGAACUGACGAUCAGGCACGAAAGCGGUGGGGAGCAAACAGGAUUAGAUACCCUGGUAGUCCACGCCAUAAACGAUGACAACUAGACGUUGGGGGGGUAAGCCUCUCAGUGUCGCAGCUAACGCGUUAAGUUGUCCGCCUGGGGAGUACGGCCGCAAGGUUG